GACGAACGCUGGCGGCGUGCUUAACACAUGCAAGUCGAACGGAAAGGCCCUGCUUUUGUGGGGUGCUCGAGUGGCGAACGGGUGAGUAACACGUGAGUAACCUGCCCUUGACUUUGGGAUAACUUCAGGAAACUGGGGCUAAUACCGGAUAGGAGCUCCUGCUGCAUGGUGGGGGUUGGAAAGUUUCGGCGGUUGGGGAUGGACUCGCGGCUCAUCAGCUUGUUGGUGGGGUAGUGGCUUACCAAGGCUUUGACGGGUAGCCGGCCUGAGAGGGUGACCGGCCACAUUGGGACUGAGAUACGGCCCAGACUCCUACGGGAGGCAGCAGUGGGGAAUAUUGCACAAUGGGCGGAAGCCUGAUGCAGCAACGCCGCGUGCGGGAUGACGGCCUUCGGGUUGUAAACCGCUUUCGCCUGUGACGAAGCGU
rnacentral:rRNA from 1 species